UUUCUGUAGAACAUACUGAAUGUAGUGUCCUUCAAUGAAGCCUUGUAUCUUAAGUCAACAACAAGAGCAAGCGUGCUUGCCUUGUUGGAAGUUGGCAACACUGUCCCUGUGCUUGGAGGUUGUUUAGACAACCAGCAGCUCUGUUAAAUUCAUUAACAAAGUCCACAGAUCAAACGACGGUGGUCCAAAGUUUUGUGUUCUUGAAUAAUGAGAACUGGGGAAACUUGUGGAUUAAAAUAUGACCGGCCUACCCUUGAAAAGGGGUUAGACUCAUGCGUUCCGUAGGUGAACCUGCGGAAGGUUCAUUAUGUUAUAACCGAGGUGCGAGGGCGGUCGCUGACCCGAAAGGUCGUGCACGCCCGAGUGCCCUCACACACAUCCCUCUCACCCCUAUGUGCACCACCGCGUGGGUCCCCCUUUGGCUUGUUCGGAGGGGGGCUUACGUUUUCACACAAACUUUGUAUGCAGUGUAGAAUGUAUUUUUUGUUUUUGCGACCACGCAAUCAAUACAACUUUCAACAACGGAUCUCUUGGCUCUC
rnacentral:misc_RNA from 1 species